GCCGGGUGUGGUGGCACAUGCCUGUAGUCCCAGCUACUUGGGAGGCUGAGGCAGGAGAAUUGCUUGAACCCAGGAGGCGGAGGUUGCAGUGAGCCGAGAUCAUGCCACUGCACUCCAUCCUGGGUGACAGAGCGAGACUCUGUCUCAA
ensembl:misc_RNA Metazoa_SRP Metazoan signal recognition particle RNA